GUACCUACGGGGGGCAGCAUUAGGGAAUCUUCCACAAUGGGCGAAAGCCUGAUGGAGCAACGUCGCGUGGGUGAAGAAGGUCUUCGGAUCGUAAAACCCUGUUGUUAGAGAAGAAAGUGCGUGAGAGUAACUGUUCACAUUUCGACGGUAUCUAACCAGAAAGCCACGGCUAACUACGUGCCAGCCGCCGCGGUAAUACGUAGGUGGCAAGCGUUAUCCGGAUUUAUUGGGCGUAAAGGGAACGCAGGCGGUCUUUUAAGGUUGAUGGGAAAGCCUUCGGCUUAACC
rnacentral:rRNA from 1 species